rnacentral:rRNA from 1 species
AUGCCCAAUGGGGCACAAACUUCGACUGAAGAAGGCGAGGCGAGCGGGGGCGAGGCGAGAGGAGGUGAGGCGAGCGGGGGCGAGAGCCAGGGAGAGGAGGAAUGGGACUCGGAUGCUGCAGGGGAUGACGACGACGAUGACGAUGAUGAAGGUGAUGAAGAUGACCUCGAGGACGAGGAAGAAGAGGAGGAGGAGGUCAUUCCACCGCGCUCAGAAAGGCGGUCAAAACUUGUCCACGACCCCUCGACCGAACGUGGUAAGGGGGUAGCGACCGCUGCCCAGUCGACCAAGCGCCCUCGGACCACCUCUCCGGCGCCGACUGAAAAGGCGCCGAAGCAGCCCAGGGCGGCCUCAUCGAAGCCGGCCAAGCUUCUGCCGAAGAUGAAGGUGUCCAUCCCCACCAUUUCAGGUGCUGCUACUUCUGAGACCUCGGCCCGGGCCGAUGACCACGAGAUGGAGGAUGCCGCAACUUCGAAUCCAGCUCCACCCAACACUGUUAUCGAUCUACCUAAUGAUGAUGAGGAUGAGGAGCCGCUGAAGCACAGGAGGAGUCGGAAAGCGCCUGCCGGCAAGGUGUCUCAGGAUGCGUCAGCGCCUGAAAUUCUGACUGUGGAGGGAGAGAACACCACUCGACACACGGUGACCUUCGCGACCCCACUGACGAGUGCUCAGCAGCCUUCCCUCUUCACGACUCACCACGUCCCAGAGGACCAGGCUGGUGCGGCGAAGGAGGCGAUACGCCAGGCGGGACUCAUGAUGGAGCAGCUGAAGACCAUCCGGGAUGCGAGUCAAGCAGCCUAUGACGCCAGCUCUGCCCUCCAAAGCAAUGUCCAGAACUCCUGUGAUCUUGUGGCUCGCUACUCAGAGCUAGAACAGAAACAUACUCAAGUCGAGCUGAGCUUGAAGCUGGUUCAGGAGAAGCUGACAAAGGCGAAGGAGGAGACUGAAGGUAAGGUAAAGGAGGCCCAGCAGAAGAAAGACCUUGAGCUAGCUGAGAAGAUCAAGCUUGCUGACGAGAAGUUAGCUUCAGUCACCAAGCUUGAACAAGACAAUACCAACCUGAAGACUGCUCUUGGGAUUGCCAACAAAGAAGUCAGUCGACUGAGAACUGACAAAGCUGCCUUGACCGAUCAAGUCAGCAAAUUGACUGAGAAGAAGACUGCGCUGGAGGCCUUCCUGAGUGGCUUUGCCAAGAAGCUGUUUCUUAUGCUCGAAGGUAAACCUCCAUGUUUGGCAAGUAUUUCUGACUGUGGCUUCUUCCAUUCGACUAUCCCCUUGACUUAG